rnacentral:tRNA from 1 species
GCUUGCGUAGUAUAAUAAUUAUUUUUGACUUCCAAUCAAAAGAUCUCCAACCAGCACAAGUA